rnacentral:rRNA from 1 species
AUACGUAGGUGACAAGCGUUAUCCGGAUUUACUGGGCGUAAAGGGCGUGUAGGCGGUCUUGCAAGUCAGAAGUGAAAUUCCUGAGCUCAACUCGGGCGCUGCUUCUGAAACUGCAGGACUUGAGUGCUGGAGGGGAUAGCGGAAUUCCUAGUGGAGCGGUAAAAUGCGCAGAUAUUAGGAAGAACACCGGUGGCGAAGGCGACUUUCUGGACGAAGACUGACGCUGAGGCGCGAAAGCGUGGGGAGCAAACAGGAUUAGAUACCCUGGUAGUCCACGCUGUAAACGAUGGGUACUAGGUGUAGGAGGUAUCGACCCCUUCUGUGCCGGAGUUAACGCAAUAAGUACCCCGCCUGGGGACUACGGUCGCAAGACUAAAACUCAAAGGAAUUGACGGGG